rnacentral:rRNA from 1 species
AGUGAACGCUGGCGGCGUGCCUAAUACAUGCAAGUCGAACGGAGAUUAAGUAGCUUGCUAUUUACUCUUAGUGGCGCACGGGUGAGUAAUAUAUAGCUAACUUGCCCAUUACUAAGGGACAACAGUUGGAAACGACUGCUAAUACCUUAUACUCCGUAUCUAUAUAAGUAGAUACGGGAAAGUUUUUCGGUAAUGGAUAGGGCUAUAUCGUAUCAGCUAGUUGGUAAGGUAAUGGCUUACCAAGGCUAUGACGCGUAACUGGUCUGAGAGGAUGAUCAGUCAAAAUGGGAACGGAGAAAGGGUCAGACACCUAAGGGGAGGAAGAGGAAGGGAAAAUGGACAAAGGGGGAAACCCUGAAGCAGCAACGCCGCGUGGAGGAUGACACUUUUCGGAGCGUAAACUCCUUUUCUUGGGAAAGAAUUAUGACGGUACCAAAGGAAUAAGCACCGGCUAACUCCGUG